ensembl:lncRNA
AAGGAAGUGAGGUCUUUGAAGUACAGGCGUAGGAAGUGACAGGAAAAGCUUGCGUGGUGAUAGCACCAGAGAAAGGGGGACAUAUUUGCAGAGGACACAGGUGGGUUCUGCUUGCUCCUGUGUCCACUCCGCGUCUCGGGGUUAAAAGGAGUCAAGUUUUCUUUAAGGAACAUCUGGCAGUUACUGUCAAGUGCUGUACUCUAUGGAAACCAGGCCUGGCCAAACAAACAUUUCAAAUUCCUCGGCUACAGCGACUGGUCAGAUCCUCCGUGGUGGCUUUCCCUGGGUUUCCACCAUAUCCGUGAGGGGAGCUUGCGAGAUGGUGCAGUCACCGACGACCCCAGGGACUGACAAAGCAGCAUUUGUUUGCAACGUGUCACUGCAAGUUGGCCCGAAGCCCCUGAUGCUGUAGCCACAUGGGGACCAAGGGGGAUUCUUUACCAGCUGAGCCACAUGGGAAGCCCAAGAAUCCUGGAAUGGGUUGCCAUUUCGUCCUCCAGCGGAUCUUCCUGACCCAGGGACUGAACCCACGUCUCCUGCCUUGGCAGGCAGACUCUCUACCUUCUGAGCCACCAGGGAAGGCCCACAGGAGGGUACCAUGCAGUCUGCUGGAUGAAUGAACAUAUUCCCGGUCCCAUGUCUGUCCUUUGUCUGAACCAAACUGUCUGGGGAGUGGUUGCUGGGAACCUGUAGACACAUGAGCCCUUUGUGACCCUUCUGAGGUGACCUUGCCAUCUGACAGGCCCUCAAACAGGGUCUCAUGUGCCACAGUAAGUCUAAUCAACUGUAGGAGCUAUUCCUCAGAAUUAUCCAUUCUAGGUCCCGGGCAAAGAUUGUUGGGGCUAUUUAUGCCUCGUUCAACAAAAUGACUCAAUGGAAAAAGUGACCGAGUGUUUUCAACUUAGCUCCAUCUUCCUUGCUCGGUUGCUACAACCAUAUCGAAAUUCUGUGUCUAAAAUGUUCUGGCGGUUACUAAGACCAGGACUGUGACUAAAGUGAACUCUGAUGGUCCAUGUUCUCUUUAUGUUACUCCUCAUCUCUCUUGGUCAUAUUAACCUCGUUACUUUCAGAAAAAAAAAACAACACACACAAUGAAAGAAACACAAAACAAUCAAGCAACAAUAAACAAUUUUUUGUUGGCAUUUUUUUUUUAAGAACGAAAAUUCUGCUCCACUAUCCAUGAUAACACCAGGCUUAGGAGAGGGGGAAAAUGAAUUAGGCAUGACAAUUUUUUUUUUCUCUUGCAUGACUCUUUUGAUCAUAUUUUUUUAGUAGUAUUGGUUCAAAGGGAAAUCAUAGUGCUUGCAUGUUGAACAGCACCUAGCAUAAAUUAAAUUGGCCUGGAGUUGUUAAAAGUAUUUAGAGACUCUGCUAUAACAUGACAUGCUUUCUUAAAUAUUUGUGUUUUCAUCUGUCUUCCUAAUUGGGCUCUCAGCUGCUGGAAGGCUGCUUACAUCUUAUUUGUCCCCCGCCUGGGGUGCAAUCGGUACCUUUACGUACUAUCCUCUGAAGGCCUGAUGCUGGUGGGGAGAAUGAACAUCUUCAUGGAAAAUUCCAGCUCAUCUGCACAUCAGCUACCUUUGAUUGAAAAGCGCAUCUCUCCCACUCAGAGAGGAAUGCUGCUGUCUAUUCUACAUCUUAAAAAGAAAAAAUCCAGAGGCUGAAAUCUGACUGUAGGACUUUCAGACAACCUGCAUUUCCACAGUACAGUAACACCCCCAUGUCACUCUGCCUACAUCACACUUGGGUGUUUGAAUGCCAGCUGAUGAGAGCUCAUUUUAAACUCUCCUGCUUUAAAAACAUUUUUUUUUUCUUUUUUCUUGAAAGAGUUCCCUUUCUGGAUCCCAACAGUUUGAUUUCUCUUUCAAUUCCGGUGGGCUGACAGCCUCAGAGAUGCUUUGUUUGUGCCAUUACUGAGGGAAGGGGAUGAAACGAUCAGAUCUUAUUUACCAGUCUCUGUCUGAUAAAGACGGCUUUGCCAUAAAAGAAGCAAACGAUAAAAAGCUAGAAGUACAAGACACUGGGUCUUAAAGUCAUCCCGCUAAAUAAAAUGAAAAGAGCUCAGUUCUGGACUGCUGACUCGGGGCACAGCCAGCUGCACAUGACUUUGUCGAGGACAGAGGAAAGAAUAAGCACACGAAUUAGUCAACUGUCAUCUGGAAACGGGCAAACAGGCGUUACCACGGAUCUUCUAAAUUGUGGAUCUAGCAGCUUGUAAGAUCAUGCUUAUCACAUUUGGUGGGGUGGGGGAGGAGUCUUUUUCUUUUCCCUCGAUUACUUCUCAUGCCUUUGCCCAGGACAGUUACGGGACUGCAGCGGAAUGAAAUCAUCUGUCUUGUGUGGGGCUGUGGGACUGACUGCCAUGAAGAGAGUGUUGCAGCGUGGCCGCUGUGUAGCAACAGCUGCCUGGAUGGAAAAUUCCGGAGUCUUUUCUGUUGCAACGUUUUCCAUCUUUAUACGUGCAGGGAAAUGUGCGCUUAACUGAACUCAGCUGUUUGAAAAAUUCACAGAAAAUAUGAGAUAAU